rnacentral:rRNA from 1 species
CCUACGGGUGGCAGCAGUGAGGAAUAUUGGUCAAUGGCCGAGAGGCUGAACCAGCCAAACCGCGUGAGGGAAGAAUGUCCUAUGCAUUGUAAACCUCUUUUGUCAGGGAGCAAAGUCACCCACGUGUGGGGGUUGGAGAGUACCCGCAGAAAAAGCAUCGGCUAACUCCGUGCCAGCAGCCGCGGUAAUACGGAGGAUGCGAGCGUUAUCCGGAUUUAUUGGGUUUAAAGGGUGCGUAGGCGGGUUAUCAAGUCAGCGGUAAAAUCGGGGGGCUCAACUCCAUCGAGCCGUUGAAACUGGUGAUCUUGAGUGGGCGAGAGGUAUGCGGAAUGCGAGGUGUAGCGGUGAAAUGCAUAGAUAUCACGCAGAACUCCGAUUGCGAAGGCAGCAUACCGGCGCCCGACUGACGCUGAGGCACGAAAGCGUGGGUAUCGAACAGGAUUAGAUACCCGAGUAGUC